AGAAGCUGCAGCUGGUGCAAAACAUGGUGGUCGACUUUCUGAGGGGCAGGGUCACCAUCAGCCCAGAAAUACAGUGCUCCAGAGUCUCAGUGGCUCCCAGUAGGUUUCUGGACACAAUACAAGUCGCUGGUUUUGACCUGGAAGAACUUGAGAGGGCUGGGCCCUUUGUACCCAAGGACCCGCCUCUUCGUGGCAUGAGAGUGUUUCCAUGUCUCUGUGGCGCAAUGGGUUAGCGCGUUCGGCUGUUAACCGAAAGCGGGGUGCGGGGAAGGCCUGCGGCGGGUCUUCUCCCCUCUGGAAACACCGGCGCGCCUUGUGCGAAGCCCGACCUGCCGCAGGAGAGCCAGCCGGUUGCGGCACAGGCGGGGGGCACUGCCGGGCAGAGGAGGCCCGGGCCGGCAGCACGGUGAAGAGCAGGGUGCGGGCCGCGCUGACAGCCCGCCCCGCUGUCACUGCGGCCCGUCCCCGCUCACGCCGCCGCCUCUGCCACGAGCCACUGCCGCCGCGCCGGGCCUCGCGUCUCCCUCCUGGGGACGGCGCAAUGGCGGGCGGGCGGCCGGCGCUGCCGCGGGACGGCCCGCCACUGAAGCGAGGGGCAGGGAUUGUGCGGGCCGCGGCUCGCCGGCCACCGCGUUAGACAAGGCGGGGGUGCAGGCCCUUCUCCGCGCGUGUAAGCCCCCCAGUGCGGAGGCGAUAGACAUUGUCUGAAUAAAGCUGAAUGCUAAGGCUAAAUCCAGGGAGAGACUGCAUUGUUAGAGCGCUGGAGCCUGGAUGGCCCAGAAGCGAGGUGAGGGGCAAGGAGCUGUGAAGGUGGUGUCUUUUGCUAGAGCAAGUGCGUGGUUAGACGAGCGCCGAAGGCGAGCUGUCCUUGCUGGGGGGUCCGUGUGCACAGACGAGGGCCCCUCGGAGGGCGGACAUCGGGCAGGUCUGCCACAGGCGCAGGGAGACGGGCGGGUGUCAGGAUGGCCGAGCGGUCUAAGGCGCUGCGUUCAGGUCGCAGUCUCCCCUGGAGGCGUGGGUUCGAAUCCCACUCCUGACAACGCCCUGCCUUUUUCCCAGCUGCCGCCGCCGCAGAGUCCAAGCCCCACGCGGCUCCCCGCAGUUUU